rnacentral:rRNA from 1 species
AUUAGAUACCCUAUUAUNUUUAUUGUAAAAAGUUAAUACUGGAGUAUUAAUAGAUAUAGUCUUUAAACUUAAAGAAUUUGGCGGUUUUAUAAUCUAUUUAGAGGAAUCUGUUAUGUAAUUGAUAAUCCACAUUGAACCUUACUUAUAUUAAUUUUUUGUAUACCGCUGUUAUAAGAAGAUUCUUUUAGGUAAUUUUCUUGAUAUAACAUUAAUUAAAAUUUCAAGUCAAGGUGCAGUUAUAUAUAAGUUGAAUAAUGGAUUACAAUAAAUUUUAUUUAUCAUAUGAAUUGUUAUUGUAAGUAUAAUUUGAAAGUGGAUUUAAUUGUAAUUUUAUAAAGAUUAGUAAAAUGAUUAUAGUUCUAUAAUGUGUACACAUCGCCCG